UACGGAGGGUGCAAGCGUUAUCCGGAUUUACUGGGUUUAAAGGGUGCGCAGGCGGAUAUGUAAGUCAGUGGUGAAAUCUCCAGGCUUAACCUGGAAAUUGCCGUUGAUACUAUAUAUCUUGAAUGCUGUGGAGGUAAGCGGAAUAUGUCAUGUAGCGGUGAAAUGCUUAGAUAUGACAUAGAACACCUAUUGCGAAGGCAGCUUACUACGCAGAUAUUGACGCUCAUGCACGAAAAGCGUGGGGAUCAAACAGG
rnacentral:rRNA from 1 species